rnacentral:rRNA from 1 species
UACGUAGGGUGCAAGCGUUAAUCGGAAUUACUGGGCGUAAAGCGUGCGCAGGCGGUUGUGUAAGUCAGAUGUGAAAUCCCCGGGCUCAACCUGGGAAUGGCGAUGGAUACUGGGCAGCUAGAGUGUGUGAGAGGAUGGUGGAAUUCCCGGUGUAGCGGUGAAAUGCGUAGAGAUCGGGAGGAACAUCAGUGGCGAAGGCGGCCAUCUGGGACAACACUGACGCUGAAGCACGAAAGCGUGGGGAGCAAACAGG